CGGGAGACAUACGAUUCGUUGCCUGAUUGUUCAAGAAGAGUUUAUGUGCUGUGAAACAUAUUUAUUUUUUUUCAUCAGUUGCUUUGUUUAAUCUUUUUUCCUGCAAAUAAUGAUAGCUUUGACAGUUCAUUCACGGGAGCCAAGAAGUAAAAGAAGAAGAAGCCAGUUGAAUGAAGAUCAUUGAAUAAAGAAAAUGUCGAUGCUCCUGAAGAUUUGGAGGAGCAUCCUAAUGAUGAGGAAGAGGUGGAGGGAAUUGAUCUGCACCAACAACGUUACCCGUGGGAGGGAAGUGACAUGUAUUACUUAUACGACGAGGUAAGCAUAUCAUUAGAUGGUUUGCGGUCCAUCUUUGAGAGCCGUCGAUUGUAAGUGUCUAUCGUUUUGAAGUUGUACGACACUAAGAUGUAAAGAAUUACUAAUCACGAUUACCUUACUAGCAGAGUUCUUUUGCACAGCUA